CAGCAGCUGGAGGAGCAGGCUUCUCAACCUGUAUCUCUGCAGACAGGAAGGGAAGCUUUAACUGGAGCUGACACCCCGCGGGCCAGCCAGGAUCAUUCCCACCAAUCAGAUGGCCUCCAGGACGGGAGUGAUUUGGAGGUAGACAUGACGUCAGAUGAUGAUGAUGGGUCGGAAUCUGAAAGCUCCAAAGAUCUUCAAGAUAUUCCAGAAGAGAUCUGAUCUCUCUCUCUGCAUGUUCAACAGUGCUAAUGAGCUUAAUUGAUUAUGAUGUAAACUAAUUGACUCUGGCCAAUAUGCCACAAAGUACAACAAUGCGCCUGCCUAACUUUUCUGCAAGUCUUAAUAUUUAUUCAGCUGCUUUGCAUUUGAGUAGAUGUCCUGUGGCAGUGAGAUGUUUUAUUUUUCGGUUAUGCUUUGGAUUAUUUGGAUUUCCUUGAUUUAAUUGCAUCACUUGACCAAAGGGGUGUGGAAAACUGUUAAAACUGCAGUAAGUAAUAGUUAUUAAAAACAUUUUUUUUUCAUAUUUGCUGAAAUGUCACUUUAUCCUGACAGCAGUUCCUCUGGCUCCUCCUAGUGCUCCUAAUGGCAUUUGCAAGAAUCUACAAAAACAAGCGAAAAAGAUGGGUGACUGUUGAGUCUUAUUCCAUCAUCAAAUACACACACUUUGGGACCCUGGUAAUGAGACUCAACAAUCAGCUAUGUACAAACUUCCAACCCAAAGUGUCUUUAUAUCUUUCUCAGCUCUGAUUGGUUGUUUUCGCCCAUGUCCGGUGGAUUCAUGCAAAUGCCUAGGAGGAGCCAGAGGAACUUUUUCACAGAUUAUCUGUCUCAUGUACUGCUGUCAAAACACUGAAAAUUUCAGCAAUAAUGACAAAAGAUUAUUUUUAUAAAAGUUACCUACUGCAGCUUUAAAUCUUUUUAGACAAAAUGGACAUUAGGGCUGAUGGUUAGGGCAUAACAUAAGCAUUGGUAAUCUUUAGUUAUUUUUAUGUCUUGCAAAAAUAACUGUAAGGGGGGUUUAUUAUUAUAUCUCCCAAAAUCAGGGAAUUUGUUAGUAUUUAGUUAUAUAUAACAAUAAUAAUAAUACAAAGAGCUGGGUAAAAAUUUGAUUUUUUAAUUACAUAUAAAAUGUGUCUUCUGCAUGAGGCAUUAAACUUUGAUGUGACAGUUUCAGCAAAAUAAAAAAGAAGUCACAAGGGAAAAAAGUUUCUAUUUCUUGUCAGAAACAUCACCAAGACAGCAGCCCACAUAGAAAUACAUAUAUAAAUAUCUAAUAAACAUAGAUAACAAGCACAAUCUAAAGCAUUCCAAUACAACUGCCCUGCAAUAAACCAUGUUGUUACAAUGCAAUCAUACUCAGGUUUUGUUAAGAGUGUGUCAGACAUCUGUCUUUGGUAACAAACUAUAAAAUAUGCCACAUUUAUGUGACUAAUCUCAUUCUCUUGAACAAUCUCAUUUAAACUCCAACAUGUUUGUUUUAUGGAUCUGUCACAGGGACACACAAAGUCACAAGCAUUUAGGCCUGACAGCCAGGUGCGUGUCCAGACAUUUUUCACUGUGGUGGAGUUGUGGAGUUAUGGAGUUGGUUCACAACACAACAGUGACACCACUUAAAUACAACAUAUAUUUUAAUAUUUGAUUUAAUACGUGAUUCUUAUAAAACUUGAUUCAUAGCCAAAAUUGUGCCUAAAUUUGGGACGUUAUUUAGUGCCUUUGCCAACAAGUUAGCAGCUUGUUAUGCUGGCAAAUUAGACCAAAUUGACUAAAACUAAAGACAUUUCCUAAAAGUUAUUAUUUACUUUUUUUAUAUGUUUCAACAUUUUCACUGCAUUCUAAAAGUAGUACAUGAGACAGAUUCCUCUCUUCUCUUUUCAUUCAGGCCCGGUGGAUUCUUACAAAUGUCAUUAGAGCACUAGGAGGAGCCACAGGAAGUUUUAGCAAACAUGUCAAAAGAUUAUAAAAAAUAAAAUAAAAUUGGAAUUUUUCAAUUCAAUUUUAUUUGUAUAGCUCCAAUUCAUAACGUAAGUUAUCUCAGGACACUUUUCAAAUAGAGCAGGUCUAGACCGAACUCCUUAUAACAUUACCCAACAGUUCCUUAGAUCAGGCAGAAACCUCGGACAGACCCCUCAGCUCUAGG